rnacentral:rRNA from 1 species
AUUGAACGCUGGCGGCAGGCCUAACACAUGCAAGUCGAGCGGAUGAAGGGAGCUUGCUCCUGGAUUCAGCGGCGGACGGGUGAGUAAUGCCUAGGAAUCUGCCUGGUAGUGGGGAUAACGUCCGGAAACGGGCGCUAAUACCGCAUACGUCCUGAGGGAGAAAGUGGGGGAUCUUCGGACCUCACGCUAUCAGAUGAGCCUAGGUCGGAUUAGCUAGUUGGUGGGGUAAAGGCCUACCAAGGCGACGAUCCGUAACUGGUCUGAGAGGAUGAUCAGUCACACUGGAACUGAGACACGGUCCAGACUCCUACGGGAGGCAGCAGUGGGGAAUAUUGGACAAUGGGCGAAAGCCUGAUCCAGCCAUGCCGCGUAUGUGAAGAAGGUCUUCGGAUUGUAAAGCACUUUAAGUUGGGAGGAAGGGCAGUAAGUUAAUACCUUGCUGUUUUGACGUUACCAACAGAAUAAGCACCGGCUAACUUCGUG